rnacentral:rRNA from 1 species
UCAGAUUGAACGCUGGCGGCAUGCUUUACACAUGCAAGUCGAACGGCAUCGGGGAAGUGCUUGCACUUCUGCCGGCGAGUGGCGAACGGGUGAGUAAUGCAUUGGAACGUACCGGGUAAUGGGGGAUAACUUGCCGAAAGGUAAGCUAAUACCGCAUACGCUUUAAGAAGGAAAGCGGGGGAUCAUUUGACCUCGCGUUAUCCGAGCGGCCAAUGUCUGAUUAGCUAGUUGGUGGGGUAAAAGCCUACCAAGGCAACGAUCAGUAGCGGGUCUGAGAGGAUGAUCCGCCACACUGGGACUGAGACACGGCCCAGACUCCUACGGGAGGCAGCAGUGGGGAAUUUUGGACAAUGGGCGCAAGCCUGAUCCAGCCAUGCCGCGUGUCUGAAGAAGGCCUUCGGGUUGUAAAGGACUUUUGUACGGGAAGAAAAAGUUGUGGC